UGUCCUCAGAACUUGCUGUGAAUAUGGUGCUCAGUGUGCAAGAACACGUCCGUGAAUCAUUGGCCUGUGGCUGGCCUUUGGCAGCCAAGACACAAGAACAGGCUAUGGGAACAGGAACUUUACAAGAUAAAAGGGAACAAGACUACAAUAGAGCUUGAGGGCCAGGCAUGCUGCCAACUGCCCAGUCAAGGAGAGAUAGAGGUCAUGAAGACUAUGAUAGGAGGAAGUAACAACCUCCGAAGAGAGUAGCGACCCCCGGAGUGCUCCUGGCACAGGCAUGCUCCAGUCCAUCAUCAUGCUGCAAAAGUGCAGACGUGAAAAUUUGGAAAACCCUCCUUCUGGCUUGUGAUGGCCACAUACACCAGCAUGAGACUGCAAACUCCCCAGAUAAAAUGCCUGAGCCUGUGUGCUGGGACGAGGCACUCAGAACACUGAGGACCAUGUUGCCUCUGCAGGGAUGCCCGCUAAGUGUUUUGCCUGCCAAACCUCAUCAUGACGGGACUUGGAGCUGGACUCCUUGCCUUCCAAACACUUCUUCUGGGAUUGGUCACUCUGCUGUUCUCUGCUUUGAUAUUCUUCAGCACAUCUCCAUAAGCAGUUUUAAGCUGACUUCGUGUACCAGCUAAGGUGAUGACAGGAACCAUAAAAUAGAUGGGCGGUAAACAAGGUAACAGGAGUGCUGAAAACACAGUGACAGUGGAAAAGCUUAAGGAGCUACAGGUGAAAAGGUCCAUGCCAUAGUAUGUCAGGCUAAAGAAGUGGAGAGAAACCACCCAAGAGAAAACCUGUACUAGGGUUGCACCAGCUUCCAGCACCCCCCGAGAAAUGAGAGGGUGACAAGUGACAGGACGAAGGAAAUGGCCUCCAGCUGCAACAAGGGAGAAAAGAAUUUCUUCACGGAAAGGGUUGUAGAGCACUGGAACACGCUGCCCAGUGAAGUGAUGGACUCAUCACACCUGAAAGCAUUCAAAAAGCUUGGGCAUAUGGUGCUUGAGGACAUGUUUUCAACAUGAACAUGUGCUAUGUUGAUGAUUGGACUUGAUGAUCUUAAAGGUCUCUUUCCAACCUUAAGGAUUCUAUGACUUUCAGGCAGACUUUGCUGGCCUCUGCUCCUUGGAGGUGGGAAAUUUUAGCCAAGAAUGCAGGAAACUAUUUUAAUGCUGAAUAGAACAGCCUAAGUUUGAAGAGGCAGAGGUUUCAUCAACACCGUUCUUCUCCUAAAAUCCCUGCUGUAACAACAAAUUGAGGUUUCUUUUGCAGCAGCCUUCUGGAAAUACUUGAGCUCCAGAGGCAUCACCAUACUCACUGAUCUCUGUCUCUCAAGCACGCACAACCAAAACAUGCUUUAGUUCCCAGAAACAAACUCUCAUGUCACACUUUAUGUUUCACAGAGGAGAUUUCACAGAUUUUGAAAGACUUCCAAAGCAGUAGAGUAGUCAGUAUGGGGUUUUUUCUGAACUCUUGAUUGGAAUGUCUAGACCAGGUUUCUACACUUCCCAACAAUCUUAAAAUUAUCUCAACAAAACACUGUACAAACACGACUCUCAUCUGGAAAGAGGAGUCUGGAAAGCUGAACUUCUGAAUCUCCACUUGCAGUAAACACCAUGAUUUUUGCUAGUGUGCAUUGCAAAUGGCAGAAGUACAUAAAAAAAGCUUGUACCCUGAACUUAUAUUGAUCCAAAUGUCUUAUAGCAGUUCAAAAUGAGUCCUGUCCUGGCUGCAGCACUGCUUUGAGAAAUGAUAUUGAGCUUUGUGCAUGAUUAGUGGAAGGAGCAUCCAAUGGUGCAUCUAAACUCUGAUGGAGGAGCAAAGAGGUAAGUAAGGCUCAUUAUGCCUAUCAAGUAAAGGUAGUUGUUAGGGAUGUAACAGGCUAAAACCAACAUAGUCUACAUAAGGAAAAAAAUAUCAUUAUAGUUUUGACAGCAGAAAGUAUUAUUUUACAAGAUUGCCUUCUUGUAUCUGUUAUCCCUGUUUUGGAGUCAACGAUAUUACUGAAAUUUUUUCUUAAUGAGUAGUUCAGCGUCUCCUGGAGUCUUAGAAAGAGCUUCUGAACACAUGAAAUAUUUGGUGCCCUGGUUCUCAAGAAGAGCAUUUUUCUGUUUUGAAGAGCUUUGAGGUCUCGACCUGGUAAAUUCUGCAAUUCUUUAUUCAAGAAAAAGUUUUUUGAAAAUCAAUAAUUCAACAAACUGGAAAGCCAGGCUGCCAGGGUUGUUCAGCUAUAGCUCUUGUGUUGGUCAGGCAGACUGACAUGAGCUGUGGCAUAGCUACUUGGACAUGGUUUGCAGAUUGUCUGUGGUGGUGCAGGACCCAUUGUGAUGAAAGACUGUGGGGGUUGAGGACCAUGAAGAAGAACAGUAUCAGAGAUGGAAGAAAGCAUUACAAGAAUCCAUAGAAGAGGAAGAUGAAGUUUCAACAUAAUGGACUUUCAGCAAAUACAAUGGACUGAUGCAUGAAUGCGUAGGUUUUGAUGUUUGUUGUAUUCUCCUACUUUGUACUCCUACAUUUUUAUGAAAAAUCCCCUCAGGUUGUUUACUUCUUUUACCGUCAUGUUCUGAUUGGUUGUUAGCUGCCACAGUGUAGAUGUUCCAUAUAAGGUCAUACCUCUCCCCUUGAUCCCUUAUAGAGAUGUAACCUCUCCUUGUUCUCCCUAUUAAGGCGAGUUCCCUUCUUCUCUUUCCCUAUAUGUCAUGUUCACAUCCCCAGUUCCAGAAUGUUCCUUUCCUCUGCUAUAUUAAGGGGAAGCCAUUUUAAUAAAGAGCUUGCUUACUCACUUACUCCAGGACCUACAUACCUACAACGAACCCUGAGUGAGUGUCCCUUAUUUCCCCACCGGGCCGUAACAAAAGACCUUGCUGGGAGUCGAGGUGAAGAAAUGGCUGUUGUUCAGUAUUAAAACUAGCCCUAAUGUGGGUUUGCUAUAUAGAGACAUCAAUGUUGACAUGUAACCUGAGGAGGGGAGGAAGGACUGCUGAAUGCAGUUUGACAACGUAAUACGCUCUUGUGUAAGCGAAAAGGAAUAUGUUCAACCUUCAAAAAUAACCAUGCAGUCCAUGAAAAGACAACGUGAAUUUACAAAUAUAAGUGACAGAGUAGUUGAACUGAGGUAUUGGAGUUGUGGCAUCUACUCAGAGUUUUUUCUCUGCUUGAUUACUCUUGAUCUUCCAUUGAAAUUUGCCUGGAGUGUGCACAGUGGGGCUGUGAAAAGGGAGAUGAGCAAAUCCCAUCUUCCUGAUGGAGGUGUCAGCCCUUGUUGGGCUGUUUGGUGAAUGGGUCUUCAGCUGAGGACUCCCACAGUUAUUGCCCAACACAACUCUUAUUCUGUGUGUCUCUGCACCUGUUCUAACUCCCUAGACAACAGAUACAGCGUUGUCUUGUCUAGCAAAUGCAUGGCGUACCAGCACAAGGGAACUGGAAGCUGGGCAGCAGUGUACUCUGUAAAUCAUUGCUGGAGAAGUGCAAUGGGAUUGCUCAUGUGCCAAAAAAUUCCAAGCAUCCCAAGGAAGCUUCUACAGCAACAUGCAAGGACUCAGUCUCCGAGCUUAUGUGCCCUUAUUGUAUGCAACAGCAGUAACCACCUCGCCAUUAUCUAUUUUUGUUGCAUAUGUGCAAGGAAAUGCUCAAUACCUUUUGAAUAUUGUGGUUUACACCAGCAUUAUUCUCGCUUUUUCCCAGGCCUCUAUAAGCUGGGAAAGUCACCUUGUGUUCAACCAAUAGCGGGUGUAUCCUGCUUUAGCUUUUGUCAGGGAGCCAGCAUUUCAUCUCUCAGCAGGCACAUUGCAGUCACAUAAUGGAGGCAGGAACUCAGCUGAAAUAAAGCAAUGCUGAAAGCUUGUCAGAAAUGUAAAUGAUAUUGCACCUAUUGUCAGUGAUGUAUCCUCCAUUGUUCUCACAGUUGUUUCCCAGCUGAAAAAAUGCUGGGGAGCCUGCAUGAUGAAACCAGAGACUGUUUACUGUAACAUGAUCUGUCAGGAACAGCUAACUGAUCUCAUACUACAAGAAGCAUACAUCUGUGGAAAGGAGAAUUGAGUACUGAAACCCCGUGUUCGUAGUGCUGCAAAGCUGCAGUCUCAAAGUUUCCUCUGGCUGUGUCAGUAUCGCAGGGAAGACUGAAAAUGCAAUUUACCUCAGUCAGGGGGGAAAGGUGGUUCCUUCUGAUCUGUGCUGGAAGUGAAGGUAGAAGGAUCUCAAGAGGUUUGUUCCAGAAGAGGAAGGAUUACUCGGCAUGGGAAAGAGAAAGAACAGGAAUAAAGACAAGAGCCAAGCAAAGAAAAACUCUAACCCCAGGAAGUUCACAAGGGAUUUCUGCAUAAAGUUUGCUUAGCUGUCAUUAAAUAGUAGAAACCUGAAAAAUGGUGGGUUUUAGAAACUGAGAAUAAAUAUCUGGUAUGUCGACAGAUGAGUUACUGAGAGGUGAGAUGCCAUUUUCUGCAAGUAUGUUACUUUCAGGCACCUUACUGUGACUAUUUUGCUCAAUUUCAGUAGUGUGAUACAAUCAUUUCCCACAAUGCUUAUAACACAGGUCUCUGUCAUGAGCACAGGGCUUGCUCGUCUGUAUGAAUUUGGCUGAGACUGACCACAGAAGAGAGUCUAACUCAGAAUUUUCCAAAUGUGAACUUGGAGGUGUUGGACAUGCUUCUUAUGCUGAAAAAAGAGGAAAGUACUUACUGAACUUACUGAACAUGGUUUUUUGCAAUAGUUCUUGUUGAAGUGACAAGUGUUUUGAUCUUUGUGUUUUUAAACCGUUAAAACCAACUCAAAUUUCAA